rnacentral:lncRNA from 1 species
AAAAAUUUAAAUACACAUCGCAUGUCAGUCCUUCCCUCUCCUCUUGGAAGUGGACAGUCCAGUCCAGGCCAGGGCUCCGGGACAUGCCCCUCAUAGCCUUGCUGGCUCCCAGUGUCGGGGGAAGGUGGUGGCGGUGUGGCAGGGGUGAACACCCUGCUGACGCUCAGCCGCAGCACGAAGCAGUGAUUAUGGACAGGUGGCCAAACUUAGCUCAGCCCUGCCACCUGCAACAGGUCCUUGAUGGCCAGGGUCCUCGAGCGCCGGUGGUCACCAUCCAGUUUGCACUGGGAGACUGUGGUGACUGUCCAGGGCCAGGUGCUCUCAGAAGCACUCAGGGUGGGGUGAGGGGGUUCCUUCAACUGCAUUAAAAGUGACAGGUGCAUGGGGGAAAGUGACCCCAGAACCUUCCAGGCCACCUUCACUUGUCACAGCCAUCUGAGUGGGCCACUCCCUGCUGAGGCCAUGCCCAGGCCAGCAGCAGCAGCACAGCCCUCCGAGCUCUCCAGCAAGGCCGCACCCCUGCUGCUGCCCACUGCCCCACAGAACCACCCCAUGGUCACCCUGGCUGGGAGCCAUGGCUUCAAGGGCUCCCUCAGAGGGAAGGACAAAACAAAGUGAGGACGGCUGCUAGGAAGGAUGCUCACAGUAUCAGAGGAAAUGAAUUCCACUCCCCACAAAUCCCAGAGAACCACGCCCACUGCAGCCCUGCAGCAGAAGGAAGCUUUGUCUGCAGGUCAGCCAAGAGCAGUUAUUGCUGUUUUGUCUGUUCCAAAGGAACCGCCAACAAGGGCUCGCUGUAGCUCCCCGGAGGAAGCUGCCUCAUGGUCUUGGGGACUUGCAAGUGACACCCCGCAAGGAGGGGGCGGCCUGGGUGCGGUGGGGGUCCUUUCAGAGGUGAGGCCUUCUGAUGCUACAUUCGGGGUGUCUGCAGGGGUCAGCCUCAUUCAUCGUCCGGAAAGGAUCCAUUUGCUGGCAAAAAUAUGACAGGACAAGAGAAGCGGGUACAGACAGCUGGGAGUUGCCCACAGCACUUGGCGGGGCAGCAGGGGAGGGAGGCGCGUUUCUGGAGGAGCCAUGCUUAAGGGCAUGGCCCUGGCUUCAUUCAAAUUUGUGGAAAAGUGUCGGCAGGAAAACAAACCCUCUCCCUGGCAAAUAGACCUGCCAAAUUAGUAUUUUCAACAAAAUUUGGAUUGAUGAUAGGAUUGCUGCUUGCCACAGACUUCUAGGAACUUGCUAAAAUAUUAAUUCCUUGUGCAGAAAGCUGGCAAAGUGGAUGGACCCUUUCCUAAGUAGGAUUUUAAUGAGCAAUGACAUGGUUCCUAGACACCUCAGCCAUGCAGCCAGCUCCAUGUGGCACAUCUAAGAAAAGUCAACUUCUGCAAAAAACUUACGCGGCCAUUCCUGGUAGCCUUGCAUACCUGCAUAUUGAUAUACAUAUAAUGAUAGAUCUGCACACACGCGCGCGCACACACACACACACACACACACACACACACACACGUACUCAUCCCCGGCUAGAGAACUUCACUCACCAACUCCCAUCCACUUUCGGAUCACACAGGCCAGUCUUUGGGGUCAGCACGUACAGCCAGAGCUAAGCUCCAGGGCCCCUAGUUAAGCACCGACUAUUUUGGAUCAAUGGCAAACAAGGGAAGACAAUGACGCUUCCAGGUGAGCCCAGUGAUAUGGAUCCUAAGGGGGAUGGUUCCAAACCUUACAUUCACAGUGUUACUUCCUACAAAUGUAAACCCCUCACCAGGAACAGCAUGCAGCCUGGCCUGUGAUGUUCUUGUCUUGGAGCCGCUGAGGUGAUGGGGUGAGAGACAGGCGGUUUCUAGGAGGUGGCAGGGAGAGAUGGGAGCCCAGCAGAGGUGGGGGACAUGGGAGAUUUCCUUCUUAAGAUUCCCUUCCAUCCAGCUCAAAAGCGGGACUCAUUUCUAUUGCUCAUGCCCUUGCUUGGUGGGGCCUCUGUGGGGGCUGGUGGGAAAACCCUGCACCCUAGAAAUUCCCAAACUGCUGUAUCAGGAGAGGGUAGGAAGAGGAUGGCAGUUCUGGGGCAGGGGGUCAGCAGGCAGUUUGGUGUGUGCCCCACAGCUGGCUGUGUAUUGUGGUGGGAUAUCAGGCCCAUACCCAGCCAGAUGUAAGGGUAAUUAACCAUGUACCAAGGCUCCUCCUCCUCCGCUUCCUCCUCUGGCUCUGGAAAAGGGCUUCAAAAUGAUCUCCACUCACCACAUGAAAUACCCAAACCACUGCCUGCAUUUGAACUCAGGACCAAACUGACCCACAUGGCAGUCAUCAUGCAACCGGCCUGCCUCUGGGGCCAGACAGCAGAGUACCCACCAGCCUCACAGGCAGACAGCAAGCAUGGCCCCACUCGUAGGCACACCAUGAGCUCUGCCCAGCAGAGGUCAACCCAAAUGUCCAUGCCUCAUCUGCACUGGAUGAUUUGGCUACUUUGGGGCUGGAAACAGAAAGUUGGUCCAGCGGCCUGGGCCUGGGGUAAAAGCAGCAGCUCUGAGGGGACGUGGGCCGGCCAGUCACUGCCCAGCCCUUCUCCUUACUACCCCUUCUGAGCCCCAUCACGUAUCCAGUGGGUACAGAUCUGCAUCCUCCUGAAAGGAGGCCCACUUUACAUUUUGAGCUGCAAAGGGGGCCAAGUGGGUGCUGGGGUCCUUCUCUAACAGUUGCCAAAUGCCGAGCUUUGCUCUUGACCAAGAGUGGUACAAAUAUAAUUCCACUA